rnacentral:rRNA from 1 species
GAUGAACGCUGGCGGCGUGCCUAAUACAUGCAAGUCGAGCGAACAGACGAGGAGCUUGCUCCUCUGACGUUAGCGGCGGACGGGUGAGUAACACGUGGAUAACCUACCUAUAAGACUGGGAUAACUUCGGGAAACCGGAGCUAAUACCGGAUAAUAUAUUGAACCGCAUGGUUCAAUAGUGAAAGACGGUUUUGCUGUCACUUAUAGAUGGAUCCGCGCCGCAUUAGCUAGUUGGUAAGUUAACGGCUUACCAAGGCAACGAUGCGUAGCCGACCUGAGAGGGUGAUCGGCCACAUUGGAACUGAGACACGGUCCAGACUCCUACGGGAGGCAGCAGUAGGGAAUCUUCCGCAAUGGGCGAAAGCCUGACGGAGCAACGCCGCGUGAGUGAUGAAGGUCUUCGGAUCGUAAAACUCUGUUAUUAGGGAAGAACAAAUGUGUAAGUAACUAUGCACGUCUUGACGGUACCUAAUCAGAAAGCCACGGCUAACUACGUG